rnacentral:tRNA from 2 species
GCGGGUGUAGCUCAGUUGGUAGAGCACUACGUUGCCAACGUAGUCGUCGCCGGUUCGAGUCCGGUCACCCGCU